rnacentral:rRNA from 1 species
AAUGAACGCUGGCGGCGUGCCUAAUACAUGCAAGUCGAACGCACCGCAAGGUGAGUGGCAGACGGGUGAGUAACGCGUGGGAACCUUCCUAAUAGUACGGAAUAACUUCGGGAAACCAAAGCUAAUGCCGUAUACGCCCUCUGGGGGAAAGAUUUAUCGCUAUUAGAUGGGCCCGCGUAGGAUUAGCUAGUUGGUGAGGUAAUGGCUCACCAAGGCUACGAUCCUUAGCUGGUCUGAGAGGCUGAUCAGCCACACUGGGACUGAGACACGGCCCAGACGCCUACGGAAGGCAGCAGUAGGGAAUAUUGGAUAAUGGGCGCAAGCCUGAUCCAGCCAUGCCGCGUGAGUGAAGAAGGCCUUAGGGUUGUAAAGCUCUUUUGGUGGGGAAGAUAAUGACGGUACCCACAGAAUAAGCCCCGGCUAACUUCGUGCCAGCCGCCGCGGUAA